UGGGGGUUUUAGCAUCUGUAAAAACAACUCAGGAAAUGUGCUUUAGAUACUAUUAUCUAGGUACUUCAAAGAAGAGCUAGAGCUGAGGAUAUGAGGGAGUGGUCUGCCCAGGGUCCUGCUCCUAUUUCAUUACAGCACCUGGGCCUCACUUGGUACCUGGGAGCUUUGGGGCUGAGCUGGGAACUUCAUUGUUAUCUUCUUGAGAAGCAGUCUCUGACUGACAGAUGCACAUAUCAUUCUCAGAGUCCAACAAGUGUUGUUGCAUACUGGAUGAACUUAACAAUUUAAUAGAAUGAAUCUGUAACAUAUCUAAUGAAAAAAAAAGAAACAGAUACAACAGGCACUGUUACUUUACAUUAAACAGAAUAGCAGCUUCAGCUCCUCUAUAAACAUUUUUUUCCACACAAUACAUUUCCAAUCAAUGGAUAUUAACCAAGGUGUAGAGUCCACAUUUCAUGGAAGAGCUUGUGUCUUCAACUUUUGGAAAAGGACAGGUAAGGCAGGAUGUGAGGCAGGGAAGCUAACAAAUGGAGGACAUGUACAAGGGGAGAUAUGAAAGAAGAAGUGUACAUAACCCCCAAAUCACCUGUUGAUUGUAAAUGAGGAAAGACGACCUUCCAAAAGGGUGAUAAAAUAUGAGGAACAGGAGAAAAUGGGAGUUUAUAGUAAAACAAACAAACAAAAACUAUAUCAGAGUAUAGAACUAAGAAAACUGAAUUACACUUCAGAAGUUGAUUAAGAUAGAAUGCUAAUAAAUUGCUCCAACCAGUUCUUCUGGAAGAUAAGAAGUCUGGCAAGCCAAACUGAAUAGAGAUGAUGUGGUUGUCACCUUGUUUGUGAGUAAGAUCUUGUAAAUAAGCCACAACACAUAUUUAUGUUUUAUUCCCCAAGCCUGUAACAUCCAGUCCCAGGAAAUAUGGGUUGAUGUUUGGUUUUAUGCUCUAGUUGGAGAGAAUCAUAAUAUAUGGAUGUGGGUGGAAGAGAGGUCAAAAAUGACUAGCAAGUUCUGGCCUCCAGAAGGAUGGGCAACAAGAAGGUAGUUAGAAAUAAUUGUCCAAAAUUAAACCUAUCUGUAGAAGAUUUUCUGACUUUAUGAAGGUGGUAGACUAUGACUGCCAGUUCUUUCCAUCAUUCCUGAUUUCCUCCUGUGUGACAACUUUUGCCAGUGUUUGGUGGAAGAUACAUGGGGUUAGACAACCGUGGGAUCUAGUGAAGAAGUCAGUGGGAGUCUGUUGCCUCCGUGUCCGAUGAUGGGCUGAAGUCUCUGUGCGUCAGCAGAGCUACCAGCAAGAAAAGGUGACUUUGGAGAAGGAUCUGGUGCCCUUUCCCAUGUUGCUGACCAUGUACCUGGUGCAGGACUUGUGAAGCAAAAGAGGAGAUCUGGAGAGAGCUUCAGGAGCUGCGAUCACAGCUGUGGCCCUAAGUCAAGGAAACACAAAAUCUCUUUAGCAAAAAACAGUUCAUUUACUCACAGGUCAAUUCCUCAUUGUGGGACACUAAGGAAUAAACGGACUGCAAAUGCAAAGGUUGCACCACAAGAGAGGAGCCCCAAUAUUAUGAGCUGCAAAGCUCCUAUAGGAUGACUAGCAAAUCUGUCCCUCAUUUCCUGGGAACAGAGAGAAAGAAGGAAAAAGAGAAAGAGAGAGAGAGACAUUUGCUGCUCUGGAAUGUAAACAAAAUCUCCGUGGGGAGAGAUGAGGAAGCUCUCCACAUUUUUAUCACCGUUAUUAUGUAAGCCAAAAGCUCUGAAAAAGAUUUCCACUUAUGACCAUUGGGGAGUGACUGAGGCUAGUCUUGCUCCCCUACUGUAAGCAACCAGAAAAUUGGACAAAAUACAUGAUACUACAUGUUCAGACACUGCGCAAUGGAAAAUACAGGACUGUGAUCCAUAAAGGAAGGAAAACUGAUGAGUUUGGAGCUGUUAUGAAUAAAACCGUAUGAAGAUUUAUUUACAAGUUUUUGUGUGAAUCUACGGCCUUAUUUCCUCAAGCAAAUAAUUAGAAGUGGAAUUGUUGGGACACAGGGAGUGGAAUUCCUGCCAGGUUGCUUUCCAUAAAAAGGCUGUGUUCUUUUCCUACAGCCCAACCAGCUGUAUGGAUGUGGGGAGAGGUAAUAUGGCCUUGCUGUCAGAAUCAAUGGGUGUUAUUUUUCUACCAAAAUAUAUUGUUAAUGGAGAAGGUGCUGACUGAUCGAAAGUGUCAAAAGUGGUUUACGAAGUUUUGUGCUGGAGAUUUCUUGCUGGAUGAUGCUCCAUUGUCAGGUGACGAAAAGUGGAUACUGUUCAAUAAUGUGGAAUGGAAGAGAUUGUGGGACAAGUGAAAUACACCACCACCAACCACACCAAAGGCCGGUCUUCAUCCAAAGAAGAGCAACUGAAAGCGGCUCUUGACGAAAAGCAUCCGGAAUUAGCCAACAGAAAAUGCAUAAUCUUCCAUCAGGAUAAUGCAAGACUGUAUGUUUCUUUGAUGACCAGGCAAAAACUGUUACAGCUUG